rnacentral:rRNA from 1 species
UGGGAUAACUCCGGGAAACCGGGGCUAAUACCGGAUAACAUUUUGAACUGCAUGGUUCGAAAUUGAAAGGCGGCUUCGGCUGUCACUUAUGGAUGGACCCGCGUCGCAUUAGCUAGUUGGUGAGGUAACGGCUCACCAAGGCAACGAUGCGUAGCCGACCUGAGAGGGUGAUCGGCCACACUGGGACUGAGACACGGCCCAGACUCCUACGGGAGGCAGCAGUAGGGAAUCUUCCGCAAUGGACGAAAGUCUGACGGAGCAACGCCGCGUGAGUGAUGAAGGCUUUCGGGUCGUAAAACUCUGUUGUUAGGGAAGAACAAGUGCUAGUUGAAUAAGCUGGCACCUUGACGGUACCUAACCAGAAAGCCACGGCUAACUACGUGCCAGCAGCCGCGGUAAUACGUAGGUGGCAAGCGUUAUCCGGAAUUAUUGGGCGUAAAG